GUAGGUGGCAAGCGUUGUCCGGAAUUAUUGGGCGUAAAGCGCGCGCAGGCGGUCCUUUAAGUCUGAUGUGAAAGCCCACGGCUCAACCGUGGAGGGUCAUUGGAAACUGGGGGACUUGAGUACAGAAGAGGAAAGCGGAAUUCCAAGUGUAGCGGUGAAAUGCGUAGAGAUUUGGAGGAACACCAGUGGCGAAGGCGGCUUUCUGGUCUGUAACUGACGCUGAGGCGCGAAAGCGUGGGGGGCAAACAGGAUUAGAUACCCUGGUAGUCCACGCCGUAAACGAUGAGUGCUAAGUGUUAGGGGGUUUCCGCCCCUUAGUGCUGCAGCUAACGCAUUAAGCACUCCGCCUGGGGAGUACGGCCGCAAGGCUG
rnacentral:rRNA from 1 species